rnacentral:tRNA from 1 species
UCCCUGGUGGUUCAGAGGUUAAAGCGUCUGCCUGCAAUGUUGAAGACCUGGGUUCGAUCCCUGGGUUGGGAA